GACGUGAGCAAUACAUCUGAUGUCAGCUUACUUGUUUUUCGUUUUUUUUUUUUCCAUCAUAUUCCUAUUUCAAGUUGAGAUUACCUCUUCCUGUUGAGGGGUUGCCAGACCUGUGGCUCACUGGGUCCUGCAGCAAGCACUCCACAGCCUUAUAGUUUGAAUAUUGUUUCAAGCGAGUAAUCGGUUCCUAGCUCUUAAUGUAGAGCCUUGUUUUAGUGAUCCUGUUUUUCAGCUGCUUUGCUGUCCUCUCUGUAUCUAGCACUCUUCUCCUGAUAGCAUAGUCUCCAUUGGGACACUGCCAGUAAACCUGUGGUAAGGGAAGUUUUCCAGGUGAGACUGGUGGGAUUGGGAAGAUAAGGAGUAUACAAGGAGCAGUGAGGCCACUACUGCACAGUUUCUAGAAGAGACCAUUUCCCUGCUGAAAUCCUUUGGGAAACACUGGUAAAGGUGUAAGCCAGACUUGGGAACCUUGAAGGCUAAUGGGGUUAGACGAAUUAAAUAUAAUUAGAAGGUCAAACUUGCAGAGAUAGGCGGACACAAAUAUCCUUAUGCCCCAGAGCCAAAUAGAUAAUUUUUAAAAAGUGUUUAAUGAGCUCAUCAAUACCAGUAACCUGUCCUUAAAAAACAAGAAAACAAAAACAAACAAACAAACAAACAAAAAACAACUCCAGAGACUUUUAUUUUAGCUCAUUUACUCUUGAAAUACCAAAUGAAAGAGCAUGCAGAGGAUAACUGGAUUGAUUCUGGCAGACUUACUAAGUUGUCAGCAGGGCUUAGAUCUGCACAGAGCAGAACUGCGCAUGCACAACCCAGAGGUUGCAUUGUUCCUGCCGGGGCAGGAGCUGGAUGCAGCUAUAGCAAGCAGGACUCUUGAUCACAUAAUCCGCAAACAGAUGCUCAGAAAGUAAGAUGAAAAUGAAGUUCUUGCUGCUUUGUAUCUCUCCCAAGCCUAACAUGAAGCCCAGACUGUAUGUGGUGGUAGCUCAGCAGCAAGUCCCAGGAUGUGUGAAAGGCUCGCCUGUAACGUCAGGUUGGCCCAAUUUCCUUCUACAGUGGCAAACUCCCUUUUUGGCAGAUGGUGACAGGUAUUACCACGAACACAUCCUGAAUGCAAAAAUGACUUCCUCUUUUUGAGUGAAGAGGGAAACUAAUGCAGAAGUUACUAGAAGGAAAUCAAAAGGAUGUAGUGAGGGGUAGAGCUUCUCCCUCUCAGCUGAAGGGCUGUGGUGCUUGGGAUGACCCUAGCUGCUGCUUUGGGGCGGGAGAGGAACUUUUUAAAAUAUUCUCUUUAGGGCAUAAGGCUCUUGCUAGAACACUUGGAUUUUCUGCCUUAAUUUAUUUAAGAUGAAACCAACCCUCUGGCAAAUAGCAGUGUAAAGCUACUAUUCUGCCACUUUGGCCGCAGUGUUUGCGGACACAUUCCAAGCUGCUUAUAGCAUUACAAAUCAAAAAGGCCAUUUCAAGCUAGAUGUGAUGGCAUACACCUGUGUUCUUAGCAAUGGAGAGGAUGAACCAGGAGAAUGAUCCCAUUUUAAAGCCAGUUUGGGCUAUGUAGCAAGACCUGUCUUAAGAAAAUAAAAUAGCAAAAGGCUGUUCUUGCUUUCCUCAGACCACAGUGUUCCCUCAUGGAAUUUCUUGUAGGCAAUGAGGCUGAUGUGUUACAGGAAGAAAAGCACUGGAGAGAAUGGGAUGCUGUACAGAAAAGGUCUUUUACCCGAGCCCCCUGCUGGGCCAGGCUAGGGACUUCUGCACCUUUGCUAGGAUCCUUAAAUACUGCAGUCUGAGCAUACUUGGAACCAUCUCUGUUUCUUAUUUCUCAUGUUGCCUUUGGGCUGUAUGAUCGUUGCUUUUGUGUGUUUUCUUCCUUCUCUUUCCACUUUCCCCUUUAUGCUGCAGUUUUUCCACUGGAAGUUUAUGGAAAUUAGGGCAAUGUGCUUCUUAUAUGAAUUCACUGGACCAAACUCCAAUGCCUGGGAGCUGAGUACAGGGUUCCCAAGUUAGGGGUUCGGUUCUCACAUGAGUCAGCACCAUUUACCAGGCUGGGUAGCAAGAUUGAGUGGAAGAUUUCCUGUGAUCCAUGAUGGCCUGCCCAGUCCUGCCCUGUCCUUCUUUGCAUGUCCUGACUUUACUAAGAGCAUAGUUAGUCACUGGGUUAUUCACUGUCUCCUGCAGAGUUUGGAAGUGCCAUCUCCCUUCAGUGAUUUGUGGAUUAUCAGUCAGUGCCACUCAUGCCACCCACUGCUGACAGCCACAGCCACCUCAUCUUUAGACAAAGAAGUAGGCUAUUUGUAAUAAAAGACUGAUGACCGGGCAUGGUGGCACAUGUUUUUAAUACCUAGCACUCAAGGCAGUGGCAGGUGGAUCUCUGUGAGUUCAAGACCAGCCUAGUCUUGUUCCAGGACAAGUUCCAGGACAGCUAUUGCUACAGAGAGUGUAUCAAAAAGCACACCAAACCAAACCAAACCAACAACAACAACAAAAAACAUUGAUCAAAAAUAUAACUAGGUAGGAAAUAAGCCACGUAUAUUAACCACAGGAUACACUGUAAAUUUGUAUGGAAAUAGUGACACUAGAGUGGAAUUAUCUAUACUAUUACCAUAUUCAUGAAAGACAGACAGAAAGAAAGGCAUACUAAAACUAAACAAAAAAGUAAACAAAACUCAAAAAGCAGUUAUCUGUCUUUCUCUCUCCCUCUCUCUCUCCCUAAUGCUGGUGUCAAACACAGGGCCACCUCAUGCAUGACAGACAAGUACUCAACCACCAAACUAUACCCCUAGUUCAAGUUAGGUAAACCUUCCAACAGCCCACUCUGCUUCCAAACGCCCCCAAGCUAUGGAAAAGCUCCCGUGGGAUGAGCAUGGAGUGUUGUGGGGAUUUUGCAGUCAGGUUAAGAUUAACAGCUGAGAUUGUUUCUCUUUGUCAGGAGGUGGUCUUCCCAGCAGUAGGACAGGGUUGAAGACUGCAGUGGGUCUAGAAAGGCAGAGUAUCUGGUUUCUUGAGCCCAGUAAGGUUUUGAUCCCAAUGAAGUCUUCAGAUCUUAUACUGUUGGAGCUCUACCCAGAGCAAGUACACUGCUCUGAGCAGUCACAUCACCCCUGAGAAAGAGAGAAAUGAUGAUGCCCCAGAGAUCCUGAGAACGAGGACCAGGCUUGAAAGACAGAGGACCAGUCUUUCAACCAGCUGCUCCAUUUUCCCGGUUCAUCUCCCUCCUGUGGGGUAUAGCUUAGCACAGUGCUUGAACUCAAGGAUAUUUGAGGGAUGACACUUGAGCUAUCAUGGGGCUAUGUAUCAUCACAGGCAGACUUCAGUGCUUCCAUCUAGGGUCCAGGAAGCUGGGGCUAUGGGCUUCAUCUUUGUUGCCUUCAGUCC
rnacentral:lncRNA from 1 species